AAUGUAACAGCUAUCUGAUAUUUGAUUUCAGUUUUCCAUAUCUGUUAACUACUACUUAGUUUGUAAGAUCAAAUUUUUAGUUCAAAUUCAUACAUGAAAUUCUGAUUUUGUUAUUUGCAAGUGAGUGUACACAUGUUUUUUGAUAGAUAGGGAGAAAGUAUAUCUCUUCAAACAGUAAUGAAUUCAAGUAAAUGACAUGUAUUUUAUAGAUUUUGCUUGAAAUUGAAUUUCCUCUCUAUUAGGAAUGCAAAAGUUUACUGAUAUUCAAUCUCAGAUUCUUCAUAUUGGUUAAGUAGUUAAUAUUUUGUAUGAUCAACCUCUUCACUGAACUAAAUUCAUGAAUUAACAAAAUCUAACAUAGUCCUAUUUUUUCCAUCUAAAUUCUAUAUUUUUUUAAAAAAAGUUUAUAAAUUUUUUUCCACAUAUGCCUCACUUUGAAAGUAAAGUAUAUGUCCUAGUUUUUGUUAAAUACACACUAUUAAAGAUUCACAAAAAUUUGUAAUACUGAAAUACUACAUUAGAACGAAUUCAUAUCUGCCUUGUAUUCUAAUAUAUUCUUAACUGAUAAUUUCAUCCCCAAUCAAAUUACUUAUUAAUAACUUCAUAAGUUGUAAUUACACAAUUACAUUUUCAUAGAUGAUUAAGUUUGAAAUCACAACAUAUACUAACAUUGUGAGUAGAGAUCAUUAUUUACAAAUUGUUCUUUGACUUGUAUUCUUUUUUUCCCAGUUUAUAAGUUCAUGCCAGGAUAAUUUAGUUAUUAAUUAGAACUACACUUAUUUAUUGAUUACUCUUUUUAUUUAAUGAUUUACUAAUAGACAUUAGUAAUUUAAUAAGUGUUCCGUUUGAAUACAUAGCAUUUAUUAAACUAUAUUAUAAUUAGCCACAUAGUGAUAGUUUCACUCUAUAAUUAGCCACAUAGUGAUAGUUUCACUCUUUUUUUAGGAAGAAAUAAAACUGGUGCUAGAACUGAUUCUAAUCCAACAAUUGAUACCAGAUGCAUAGCAAGAUUAAAUAGAUAAGGUUCUGAAUUGAAGAUGUGCAUUCUCAAGUAUAAUCACAGGAAAAGGGCACGGCAGGUGCGAACUCGAAUUGCAUUGGGCUCAACCUGAGUUAUGAAGCAGAGCUGUGUGUAUCAGUGAUUUAUGUGAAUGGUGCAAUGUAAUUGUAUGUAUACAUAUACCCAAAAAAGUAGCAUAGAUACAACGAAAGUAAUCAUUAGGUUGUGGCUACUGCCGUGAACCUAAAUAGGCCUAAAGAGCAGUAAUCCUUUCC